GACGAACGCUGGCGGCGUGCUUAACACAUGCAAGUCGAACGGAAAGGCCCUGCUUUUGUGGGGUGCUCGAGUGGCGAACGGGUGAGUAACACGUGAGUAACCUGCCCUUGACUUUGGGAUAACUUCAGGAAACUGGGGCUAAUACCGGAUAGGAGCUCCUGCUGCAUGGUGGGGGUUGGAAAGUUUCGGCGGUUGGGGAUGGACUCGCGGCUUAUCAGCUUGUUGGUGGGGUAGUGGCUUACCAAGGCUUUGACGGGUAGCCGGCCUGAGAGGGGGACCGGCCACAUUGGGACUGCGGUACGGCCCAGACUCCUACGGGAGGCAGCAGUGGGAAAUAUUGCACAAUGGGCGGAAGCCUGAUGCAGCAACGCCGCGUGCGGGAUGACGGCCUUCGGGUUGUAAACCGCUUUCGACUGUGACGAAGCGUUAGUGACGGUAAUGGGUAAAGAAGCACCGGCUAACUACGUG
rnacentral:rRNA from 1 species